rnacentral:rRNA from 1 species
GAUGAACGCUGGCGGCGUGCUUAACACAUGCAAGUCGAACGGUGAACACGGAGCUUGCUCUGUGGGAUCAGUGGCGAACGGGUGAGUAACACGUGAGCAACCUGCCCCUGACUCUGGGAUAAGCGCUGGAAACGGCGUCUAAUACUGGAUAUGUGACGUGACCGCAUGGUCUGCGUUUGGAAAGAUUUUUCGGUUGGGGAUGGGCUCGCGGCCUAUCAGCUUGUUGGUGAGGUAAUGGCUCACCAAGGCGUCGACGGGUAGCCGGCCUGAGAGGGUGACCGGCCACACUGGGACUGAGACACGGCCCAGACUCCUACGGGAGGCAGCAGUGGGGAAUAUUGCACAAUGGGCGCAAGCCUGAUGCAGCAACGCCGCGUGAGGGAUGACGGCCUUCGGGUUGUAAACCUCUUUUAGCAGGGAAGAAGCGAAAGUGACAGUACCUGCAGAAAAAGCGCCGGCUAACUACGUG